rnacentral:rRNA from 1 species
GAUGAACGCUGGCGGCAUGCCUUACACAUGCAAGUCGAACGGCAGCGCGUCCUUCGGGAUGGCGGCGAGUGGCGAACGGGUGAGUAAUACAUCGGAACGUGCCCGAGAGUGGGGGAUAACGCAGCGAAAGCUGUGCUAAUACCGCAUACGAUCUCAGGAUGAAAGCAGGGGGACCGCAAGGCCUUGCGCUCACGGAGCGGCCGAUGGCAGAUUAGGUAGUUGGUGGGAUAAAAGCUUACCAAGCCGACGAUCUGUAGCUGGUCUGAGAGGACGACCAGCCACACUGGGACUGAGACACGGCCCAGACUCCUACGGGAGGCAGCAGUGGGGAAUUUUGGACAAUGGGGGGAACCCUGAUCCAGCCAUGCCGCGUGCAAGAUGAAGGCCUUCGGGUUGUAAACUGCUUUUGUACGGAACGAAAAGGUCUUUUCUAAUAAAGAAGGCUGAUGACGGUACCGUAAGAAUAAGCAUCGGCUAACUCCGUG